rnacentral:rRNA from 1 species
UCCCUGAUGUUAGCGGCGGACGGGUGAGUAACACGUGGGUAASCUGCCUGKAAGACUGGGAUAACUCCGGGAAACCGGGGCUAAUACCGGAUGGUKGUUUGARCCGCRUGGUUCAGACAKAAAAGGUGGCUUCGGSUACSACUUACAGAUGGACCCGCGGCGSAUUAGCUAGUUGGUGAGGUAACGGSUCACCAAGGSRACGAUGCGUAGCCGACCUGAGAGGGUGAUSGGCCACACUGGGACUGAGACACGGCCCAGACUMCUACGGGAGGCAGCAGUAGGGAAUCUUCCGCAAUGGACGAAAGUCUGACGGAGCAACGCCGCGUGAGUGAUGAAGGUUUUCGGAUCGUAAAGCUCUGUUGUUAGGGAAGAACAAGUGCCGUUCAAAUAGGGCGGCACCUUGACGGUACCUAACCAGAAAGCCACGGCUAACUACGUGCCAGCAGCCGCGGUAAUACGUAGGUGGCAAGCGUUGUCCGGAAUUAUUGGGCGUAAAGGGCUCGCAGGCGGUUUCUUAAGUCUGAUGUGAAAGCCCCCGGCUCAACCGGGGAGGGUCAUUGGAAACUGGGGAACUUGAGUGCAGAAGAGGAGAGUGGAAUUCCACGUGUAGCGGUGAAAUGCGUAGAGAUGUGGAGGAACACCAGUGGCGAAGGCGACUCUCUGGUCUGUAACUGACGCUGAGGAGCGAAAGCGUGGGGAGCGAACAGGAUUAGAUACCCUGGUAGUCCACGCCGUAAACGAUGAGUGCUAAGUGUUAGGGGGUUUCCGCCCCCUUAGUGCUGCAGCUAACGCAUUAAGCACUCCGCCUGGGGAGUACGGUCGCAAGACUGAAACUCAAAGGAAUUGACGGGGGCCCGCACAAGCGGUGGAGCAUGUGGUUUAAUUCGAAGCAACGCGAAGAACCUUACCAGGUCUUGACAUCCUCUGACAUCCUAGAGAUAGGACGUCCYC